CAACUCUGGUAAUGCGCCGUAUUGCAUAAAUGAUAGUGUUACCUUUAAAAAGACUUGCGCGAUAUCUUCAAAUAACGUCAUGACAUCAUUUUUAGAAAUAUUAUCUUUUCCACAAAUCAUUUGAUAUAAAGUGCGAUCAUUUGCCGCGAGUGCUGCCAUUGACACUAGCUGUUGCGUAUCAUUUUUGGCUAG
rnacentral:sRNA from 1 species